GAUGAACGCUGGCGGCGUGCCUAAUACAUGCAAGUCGAGCGAACGGACGAGAAGCUUGCUUCUCUGAUGUUAGCGGCGGACGGGUGAGUAACACGUGGAUAACCUACCUAUAAGACUGGGAUAACUUCGGGAAACCGGAGCUAAUACCGGAUAAUAUUUUGAACCGCAUGGUUCAAAAGUGAAAGACGGUCUUGCUGUCACUUAUAGAUGGAUCCGCGCUGCAUUAGCUAGUUGGUAAGGUAACGGCUUACCAAGGCAACGAUGCAUAGCCGACCUGAGAGGGUGAUCGGCCACACUGGAACUGAGACACGGUCCAGACUCCUAAGGGAGGCAGCAGUAGGGAAACUUCCGCAAUGGGCGAAAGCCUGACGGAGCAACGCCGCGUGAAUGAUGAAGGUCUUCGGAUCGUAAAACUCUGUUAUUGGGGAAGAACAUAUGUGUAAGUAACUGUGCACAUCUUGACGGUACCUAAUUAGAAAGCCACGGCUAACUACGUG
rnacentral:rRNA from 1 species